rnacentral:rRNA from 1 species
GACGAACGCUGGCGGCGUGCUUAACACAUGCAAGUCGAACGGUGAAGCCUUUCGGGGUGGAUCAGUGGCGAACGGGUGAGUAACACGUGAGUAAUCUGCCCUUGACUCUGGGAUAACUUCGGGAAACCGGAGCUAAUACCGGAUAUGACGCAUGGCCGAGUGGUCUGUGUGUGGAAAGUAUUUUUUGGUCGAGGGAUGAGCUCGCGGCCUAUCAGCUUGUUGGUGGGGUAANGGCCUACCAAGGCGACGACGGGUAGCCGGCCUGAGAGGGCGACCGGCCACACUGGGACUGAGACACGGCCCAGACUCCUACGGGAGGCAGCAGGUGGGGAAUAUUGCGCAAGUGGGCGGAAGCCUGACGCAGCGACGCCGCGUGAGGGA